rnacentral:tRNA from 1 species
GCGCUCAUAGUUCAUCGGCUAGAAUAGUUCCCUGUCACGGAACAGAGGGGGGUUCGAUUCCCCCUGGGCGCG